AGUGAACGCUGGCGGCGUGCCUAAUACAUGCAAGUCGAACGAAGUGGCGCACGGGUGAGUAAUAUAUAGUUAAUCUGCCCUCCACAGAGGAACAACAGUUUGAAACGCCUGCUAAUACCUCAUAGUGUAGGAUGAGACUAUAUCGUAUCAGCUAGUUGGUAAGGUAAUGGCUUACCAAGGCUAUGACGCGUAAGUGGUCUGAGAGGAUGAUCAGUCACAUUGGAACUGAGACACGGUGCAAACACCGACGGGAGGCAGCAGUAAGGAAUAUGGCGCAAGGGGGGAAACCCUGACGCAGCAACGCGGCGUGGAGUAUGACACUUUUCGGAGCGUAAACUACUUUUAUCAGGAAAGCGGUACCUGAUGAAUAAGCACCGGCUAACUACGUGCCAGCAGCCGCGGUAAUUC
rnacentral:rRNA from 1 species